rnacentral:rRNA from 1 species
ACGAACGCUGGCGGCGUGCUUAACACAUGCACGUCGAACGGAAAGGCCCUGCUUUUGUGGGGUGCUCGAGUGGCGAACGGGUGAGUAACACGUGGGUAACCUGCCCUUGACUUUGGGAUAACUUCAGGAAACUGGGGCUAAUACCGGAUAGGAGCUCCUGCUGCAUGGUGGGGGUUGGAAAGUUUCGGCGGUUGGGGAUGGACUCGCGGCUUAUCAGCUUGUUGGUGGGGUAGUGGCUUACCAAGGCUUUGACGGGUAGCCGGCCUGAGAGGGUGACCGGCCACAUUGGGACUGAGAUACGGCCCAGACUCCUACGGGAGGCAGCAGUGGGGAAUAUUGCACAAUGGGCGGAAGCCUGAUGCAGCAACGCCGCGUGCGGGAUGACGGCCUUCGGGUUGUAAACCGCUUUCGCCUGUGACGAAGCGUGAGUGACGGUAAUGGGUAAAGAAGCACCGGCUAACUACGUG